rnacentral:rRNA from 1 species
AUUGAACGCUGGCGGCAUGCUUUACACAUGCAAGUCGAACGGCAGCACGGGGGCAGCCCUGGUGGCGAGUGGCGAACGGGUGAGUAAUACAUCUGAACGUGCCCGGUCGUGGGGGAUAACGUAGCGAAAGUUACGCUAAUACCGCAUACGAUCUGCGGAUGAAAGCGGGUGACCUUCGGGCCUCGCGCGCUCGGAGCGGCCGAUGUCGGAUUGGGUAGUUGGUGGGGUAAAGGCCUACCAAGCCGACGAUCUGUAGCUGGUCUGAGAGGACGACCAGCCACACGGGGACUGAGACACGGCCCAGACUCCUACGGGAGGCAGCAGUGGGGAAUGUUGGACAAUGGGCGCAAGCCUGAUCCAGCCAUGCCGCGUGCAGGACGAAGGCCUUCGGGUUGUAAACUGCUUUUGUACGGAACGAAAAGGCUCUGGCUAAUACCUGGGGCUCAUGACGGUACCGGAAGAAUAAGCACCGGCUAACUACGUG